GCGCCCGUAGCUCAGUCUGGUAGAGCAACGGCCUUUUAAGCCGCUGGUCGAUGGUUCAAAUCCAUCCGGGCGCA
rnacentral:tRNA from 1 species